rnacentral:rRNA from 1 species
GAUGAACGCUGGCGGCGUGCCUAAUACAUGCAAGUCGAGCGAACAGACGAGGAGCUUGCUCCUCUGACGUUAGCGGCGGACGGGUGAGUAACACGUGGAUAACCUACCUAUAAGACUGGGAUAACUUCGGGAAACCGGAGCUAAUACCGGAUAAUAUAUUGAACCGCAUGGUUCAAUAGUGAAAGACGGUUUUGCUGUCACUUAUAGAUGGAUCCGCGCCGCACUAGCUAGUUGGUAAGGUAACGGCUUACCAAGGCAACGAUGCGUAGCCGACCUGAGAGGGUGAUCGGCCACACUGGAACUGAGACACGGUCCAGACUCCUACGGGAGGCAGCAGUAGGGAAGCUUCCGCAAUGGGCGAAAGCCUGACGGAGCAACGCCGCGUGAGUGAUGAAGGUCUUCGGAUCGUAAAACUCUGUUAUUAGGGAAGAACAAUGUGUAAGUAACUAUGCACGUCUUGACGGUACCUAAUCAGAAAGCCACGGCUAACUACGUG